AAGCAAACAGUAGGGACACGUGGGCAAGCAAGCACAGGGUCGUACAGUUGUGUAGCAACGAGAGCCGGUCGAUACGAAAGUAUUGUGACAGUAUUUAUAAUGGUUUCCUCCCAUUAAACUAUCCCAGCGCCCGACUAGGAGAUGAAGCACAAUACGCACCGGCGAGUGGCUGCUUAAAGCGAAAUAAAAACAUAAUGGCUGAUUGUAUUAUUUGUGAUGCUACAGGUGCUCAUGUCUCUCGAACCGCCAGUGGAACCUUGGGGUUUCUCGUCCGAAGCAGCAGAUCAUAACCGGAUCGCUCGCAUGUCGACUCGAGCUGCAUGACAGGAAGAUGCCCCUGAAAUUACGCUGAUCGGGCUAAUGGAUGCAAAUAUUUCUCGGACGGACGACCCAAUUGCAAAUCACAUGAUGGCAGAGAGACAGAGAGCCAUUCAGAGAAAUCCCUGCUAGCCAUAUUUGAAUAUGACAUGCUGGCUCAGAUGGGGGAUACUGGAAAUAAUGUACUGCGGUAGUCAAAUUAUGCUGAUGUCUAUAUCAGACAGCUGCCAAAUGUACAGCUACCAUAUACUGACUUUCUGUUCCCCUAGAAAAAGAUUUAAAAAUAAAGUUUACUUUUUUUUUCUAUUAUGUUAUAAAUUGACCAAUUCUUGGAGACAUUUCAGUGGGUCUGCUUUGUUUUUCCCAGAUUGCUUCAGACCCCCACAGCCGAGAUACUCAUGCUCUGUUAAAGGGGAACGCCACAAGAAUAUAACAUACACUUUUUAAAUAUUAAACAUAAUUUCAAGCAACUUUGCAAUAUACAUCAGUUGAAAAAAAUAUGCAGAUUUUCAUGAUUUUUACUGGUUUGGAAAAGUUCCCUAAACCUAGUCCCCUGCUAUCCUGCUUAUCUGUCUGACUACUUUGCUGAGCUGGCUGACAACUGUUACUUUGUAUCAGCAUAGAAAGACAAAUUUACCGCCACUCAAGGCAUUUGUUUGCAGGAAAAACCUUACUUUAUUGCAGUGAGGAAGUGCAAUGUUUCGGGGCCACAAGCAUCAAUGCUUGAUAAAGGGGUGUGGCCUCAAAACUUUGCACUUCCACACUGCAAUAAAGCAAGGUUUUUCCUGCAAAAAAACAUCUUGAGUGCUGGUAAAUUUGUCUUUCUUCGUUACAUGGGAGGUUGCCGGAUCCUCCAUUACUGAGCACUGGGCUACACUACUUAAGGGUUGUUGCGGGUGUACAUCCGCUCCCACUUGCUUUCUUGGACUUAGUAUCAGCAGCCAUCUGUCCUUAGCCUGCAUCCUCCAAACCCCAUAAUUCCCUGCACAUGUGAUUGAGGUAAGAAAUGGAAGAUCGCAGUGCAAUGCAUUGUGGGUUAUGUAGUUCCUGUUUGUAACAGUGUUUAGUCCCUGCCAGGAUUUCAAAUGAUGCAGAAAGAGAAGAACUGUUAACCAGCUGGAUUGCAGCAUAGAAAAUAGCAUUUAGUCAUACUUUUUGAAGAAAUGGGUAGCUGUGAUGUGUAAAUUACGGGUUUUGUGUUAUGUGGGCAUCUUUAUCAAAUUUUAGUUUGGAUGCCGGAGUUCCCCUUUAUGUACAGUAUGUAUAUGAAAUUUUAUGUAACAACGUGUGUUUGUUUGCUCUUUGGUUGUACUUCUUUGCUCUUUGGUUGUGUCUUGGGAUUUAGUUCUGUAGAAGGUUAUUUUUAUCAUCAACACACCUAUGAAAAAAUACACUCUGAAUA